AUACUCCGUUUGAGUGCCGUGUGUACGACGAUACUCUUUAUCUUGGGGGUGCACUGGAAAAACACUUCGGCAAAACACGCCGCUGCGCACGUAUAACCAUUAUUACGACGAAGCUGUUAGCAGGCGGUGGACAGUGGGGCUAAUUUUGGCAUUGGCAAUAAAACGUCUCCAUGGCAGUGGUAGCCAAAGGAAAAUUCAAUAACUUUUACAUAUGUGACUCUCUUUUAAACCUAUAUAGCAAUAAAGUAAAGUGACGCAAUUAUGUAUAGAAAUAAAAUGUGUUUUCGGCUAUUUUAUUUUUCGGCAUGAUUAAUCUUUAUUUAGUCGCUUCACUUGUUGCGUCAGCGGGCGGUGUUUUCGCUCUUAACGCUUUGGCUGCCAUUCCGUUCGUCUGCUCCUGGCGCUCUCUGCUCCUCUGCCCACGUGCACGCUUCUGCCUUCUACUGUGCGCUGCAACAUUUUCUUUCUGUAUCAGCCAGUGCUCCAGCGAUGUAUGAAAAAGAGAAGAAAGGCUACAAGACAGUCUGCGCGACUCUGUGUUGGACCAACACCGGAAGGGAAAGCAGGGCCCCUUUUUCCGCUUCCAAGACCACAGCUCCAGCAUGGAAAACUCUACCUCGUCUUUCUUUAGAACUAUGGCCUACCAAGCACCACGGAAGAAACUGGCGCUCGUGGCGCAAUUUCCGUUUACCUCGAAGGUAUACCAUCUGACAUAGCCGUGCUGUUAGCGCCGUUCUAUGAACAUGGCAUAUGGGCGUACGCGCAUUUAGAACGGCUGAGUACUGCUCCCGCUUCUUCAACACUGUUAACCAUGCAAGCUGAGUUUCAACGAGGUUUCGACCCUGAUGCUCCAUCCACCAUUCUUCGGCAGGCUAGGGUUGUAUGUUUUACCUUUUUCGCUGACAACGUCGCAGCCACUGCUUGGGGUUUGCGGGCGAAUCACUCACUCAAGGCAAAACCUCUUGAUCACCGUACAUCUACUUGAAUAAAUAUUAGUAUGCAGUUAUGCAUCAGCGCUGUUGUACUGUAUACUGUAAUUGUGUCACCGUAGGUUCCUAUUCUAGUAAUACCUGACCAGAUAACUCCACAAGACAUUCGGUAAUGACUGGAGAAAGACGCUUUUAGCUGAACGCAUACUGCGUUAUUUUUGAUCGUAUGUUUAUGCUGCCUUUCAUAGCUUGUAACGAUAAACAAGCUCUUGCAUCAGUAGGACAUCAGCGUGUGUCUUAAUGGGCUGCAUUCAUAGUUUUAAACUGAUAUUACUGGAGAAAAAUGUGGCCCUGCAAUCAUUUCGCAAUCGCGGUAGCCAUGGGUUGCUCAUGAAUUUUUCUAGGACAUGGUACGGAUUGCAGGAUAAAGCCCAUUUGAAAUCGUUCCUUAUUUGAAGUUUUUCUUUUAUUUUACAAUAGUGCCGGCUUCCUUUCGGAAGCCCAGGCAGGAGUGCUACAAACACGUUUUCACUCUUUUCCUUCAAGGGAACAAAAAAAGCCUACUAAGCAAUGCAAACAAAAUC